rnacentral:rRNA from 1 species
CAGGGAAUAUUGCACAAUGGGCGAAAGCCUGAUGCAGCAACGCCGCGUGCGCGAAGAAGGCCUUCGGGUCGUAAAGCGCUUUUCGGGGAGAUGAGGAAGGACAGUAUCCCCGGAAUAAGGCUCGGCUAACUACGUGCCAGCAGCCGCGGUAAAACGUAGGAGCCAAGCGUUAUCCGAAUUCACUGGGCGUAAAGCGCGUGCAGGCGGCCUGGUAAGUUGGAUGUGAAAUCUCCUGGCUCAACUGGGAGAGGCCGUUCAAUACUGUCAGGCUAGAGGGCGACAGAGGGAGGUGGAAUUCCGGGUGUAGUGGUGAAAUGCGUAGAUAUCCGGAGGAACACCAGAGGCGAAGGCGACCUCCUGGGUCGCACCUGACGCUCAGACGCGAAAGCUAGGGGAGCAAACGG